CUGUGAUUGGCUCAUCUUGGGCAAGGGCAUCACUCCUGGAUCCAAGAGCUCUCAGUUAUCUGGAAAAGUCACUUUCUGCAGAUCGUCUCUGAAAUUAUAUUGAGGUCAUCUGAGUCUCUCUUCUGGAUGCCCUCUUCCCCCUCCCCCAGCCCAAGGAGGGUAGAUGGGCAUUUAAGAAGAGCCACACUUCUAGUGGCAUCACUUUCCCCACAGCUUCCUUCUGCUUUGUUGUUUUUAUAUGAACACCUGUGUGGCUGGCCUCACACAGGGAGGGCAUCAUCUGAUACGAGUGUCCACCUGUCCUGCAUGCCCUGGUUCCCCGUCGAGCAAAAGGGAAGAAAACCGUUUCUGAUUCCUUCAGAUCUGGACCAUGAAUGAACAGUCAUUUCUGCCACAGAAUAAGACUUGUUUCUCAGGGACAUUAAUUGUGGUAAACCCACCCACGUAUGAGUUUGCCCAGAGCACCACCUACUGAACAGACUGGUACUACUGCAGAAACCUGAGG